UCCGAUAUGGUGUAGUGGUUAACAUCGUCCGCUUUCAGUCGGUCAACAGACCAACAGUACCGGACAGCCCCGGGUUCGAUUCCCGGUAUCGGAA
rnacentral:tRNA from 1 species